AGGGCACCACCAGGAGUGGAGCCUGCGGCUUAAUUUGACUCAACACGGGGAAACUUACCCGGCCUGGACACUGGAAGGAUUGACAGAUUGAGAGCUCUUUCUUGAUUCAGUGGGUGGUGGUGCAUGGCCGUUCUUAGUUGGUGGAGCGAUUUGUCUGGUUAAGUCCGAUAACAAACGAAACUCUAGCCUAUUAACUAGGCUCUCGGCUUUUCAACGCCGGGAGGACUUCUUACAGGGACAGGUGGAGGUUCAUCCUCACCGAAAGAGCAAUACCAUGUCUGUGAUGUGAUGCGCUUACAUGUUCCGGGCUGCACGCACACUACACAGAAGGAAUCACCUUGUGUUCCGGCCCCGAUAGGGUUGGGAAACCCACUGAACCUCCUUCGUGAAGGGGGAUGGGGAUUGCAUUUAUCCCCAUGAACGAAGGAUUCCCCGUAACGCGAUCAUAACUUGCUCUAUUACUCCCUGCCCUUUGUACACACCGCCCGUCCUACUACCGAUCGAGUGAUUAGUGAGGCC
rnacentral:rRNA from 1 species